UGGGGAUGACGUCAAAUCAGCACGGCCCUUACGUCCAGGGCUACACACGUGUUACAAUGGCCAGUAACGAGAGGGCAGCCACCCCGCGAGGGGGCGCUAAUCCUAAAAAGCUGGUCCCAGUUCGGAUCGGAGUCUGCAACCCGACUCCGUGAAGCUGGAUUCGCUAGUAAUCGCGCAAUCAGCCACGGCGCGGUGAAUACGUUCCCGGGCCUU
rnacentral:rRNA from 1 species